rnacentral:lncRNA from 1 species
CCCCACACUUAAUCCAUGCUUGUCCUCAAGCAUGACUUAAAACUCAACAAAACUUAGCUCAAACAUAAAGGGAAGAACUCUUCUCGACCUUAAACAAUCCUUAUGAGAACAAUCGGAAAAAUAAAGUCAAUUACUAAGCAAAGUUAAAUUGACUAAGUUUGAAUGAAGUGCAAGCAAGACUAAUAAGUUGAAUUUAGACUAUCCUAAACAUAAAAUCCAAGGCUUGA